rnacentral:tRNA from 1 species
GGACUCGUAGCUCAGUGGUUAGAGCGUUCGCUUGACAUGCGAAAGGUCAGAGGUUCAAGUCCUCUCGAGUCCACCC